AUGUUGGCCGGGCCGGGGCCGGGGCUGCUGGCCUUGGCCUUGGCCUUGGGGCCGGCAGGGCUCUGCGCACAGCCGAGGCUGCAGGAGGCCGGCGGAGGGCAGCGAGCGCCCGGCGACUCCGUCACCCUCUCCUGCCAUGGAUCCGGAUUCACCUUCGAGGAUUAUCAUAUUUGGUGGUACCGUCAGGCACCCGGAGGAAGCCCAGAGUGGGUGUCCUUUAUUAGUUUUGAUGCGACAGCUGUUUAUUUCGACCAGUCAGUGCAGGGGAGGGCCAAGAUGUCCCGGGACAAUUCCCGGGCCGAGGUUUAUCUCUCCCUGCUGACCCUGCAGCCCCCCGACUCUGCCCGGUACUUCUGCGCUGUUCACACGGGCACAGGAAACCCAGCCUGGCUUUAA